GAUGAACGCUGGCGGCGUGCUUAACACAUGCAAGUCGAACGAAGCAAUUGGAGUGCUUGCACUUUAAUUGACUGAGUGGCGGACGGGUGAGUAACGCGUGGGUAACCUGCCUCACACAGGGGGACAACAGUUGGAAACGACUGCUAAUACCGCAUAAGCGCACAGAAUCGCAUGAUUCAGUGUGAAAAACUCCGGUGGUGUGAGAUGGACCCGCGUCUGAUUAGCUAGUUGGUGAGGUAACGGCUCACCAAGGCGACGAUCAGUAGCCGGCCUGAGAGGUCGAACGGCCACAUUGGAACU
rnacentral:rRNA from 1 species